GGACCGUUAUCUCAGUGGCUAGAGCGACCGCCUCAUAAGCGGUUUGUCCUGGGUUCAAAUCACAGAUGGUCUA
rnacentral:tRNA from 1 species